rnacentral:rRNA from 1 species
AACGCUGGCGGCGUGCUUUAGACAUGCAAGUCGAACGAGAUCUUCGGAUCUAGUGGCGAACGGCGGAGUAAUACAUAAACAACGUGCCCUGAAGACUGGGAUAUACGGUCGAAAGGCCGAGCAAUACCGGAUGUGGCCGAGACUAGGCAUCUAGACUCGAUUAAAUGGUUUUUCGCUUCAGGAGCGGUUUAUGACUCAUCAGCUAGUUGGUAGGGUAAUGGCCUACCAAGGCUACGACGGGUAGGGGGUCUGAGAGGAUGAUCCCCCGAGUGGGACUGAGACACGGCCCACACACCUACGGGUGGCAGCAGUUUGGAAUCUUGCCCAAUGGGGGAAACCCCUGAGGCAGCGACGCCGCGUGGAGGAUGAAGGAUUUAGGUCUGUAAACUCCUUUUGCCAGGAAAGACUUAGGACGGUACCUGGCGAAUAAGCUCCGGCUAACUACGUG